AGAUUCCCAACGACUAGUAGACAUCGUUUACGGCGUGGACUACCAGGGUAUCUAAUCCUGUUUGCUCCCCACGCUUUCGCACUCAGCGUCAAUGUCAGUCCAGGAGGCCGCUUUCGCCACUGGUGUUCCUUCCGAUCUCUACGCAUUUCACCGCUACACCGGAAAUUCCACCUCCCUCUACUGCAUUCUAGCCUGCCAGUUUCAAAUGCAGUUCCCAGGUUGAGCCCGGGGCUUUCACAUCUGACUUAGCAAACCGCCUACGCGCGCUUUACGCCCAGUAAUUCCGAUUAACGCUCGCACCUUUCGUAUUACCGCGGCUGCUGGCACGAAAUUAGCCGGUGCUUCUUCUGUAGGUAACGUCAAGUACUCAUCCGUAUUAAGGAUAAGCCUUCCUCCCUACUGAAAGUGCUUUACAACCCGAAGGCCUUCUUCACACACGCGGCAUGGCUGGAUCAGGGUUGCCCCCAUUGUCCAAGAUUCCCCACUGCUGCCUCCCGUAGGAGUCCGGGCCGUGUCUCAGUCCCGGUGUGGCUGAUCAUCCUCUAAGACCAGCUACGGAUCGUCGCCUUGGUGAGCCAUUACCUCACCAACAAGCUAAUCCGACGCGAGCUCAUCCAUCAGCACAAGGCCCGAAGGUCCCCUGCUUUCCCCCGUAGGGAUUAUGCGGUAUUAGCCUGGGUUUCCCCAGGUUAUCCCCCACUAAUGGGCAGAUUCUCACGUGUUACUCACCCGUCCGCCGCUCGACGCCUCCUAGCAAGCUAGGAUCGUUUCCGCUCGACUUGCAUGUGUUAGGCCUGCCGCCAGCGUUCAAUCUGAGCCAGGAUCAAACUCU
rnacentral:rRNA from 1 species